rnacentral:rRNA from 1 species
UAAUACGUAGGGUCCGAGCGUUGUCCGGAAUUACUGGGUAUAAAGGGUGCGUAGGCGGGCUUUUACGUCAAGGGUUAAAGACUUCAGCUCAACUGAGGGAGUGCCUUUGAAACGGAAAGUCUUGAAUGUAAGAGAGGUAGGUAGAAUUCCUGGUGUAGCGGUGAAAUGCGUAGAUAUCAGGAGGAAUACCAGUGGCGAAGGCGGCCUACUGGCUUAUUAUUGACGCUGAGGCACGAAAGCGUGGGUAGCGAACAGG